GAAGUAUGAAACUAUCAGAAAAAAGCUUCUAACUUAUUUUCUUAGCAGUGAAAAUCUGUUAAUAUUUCU
rnacentral:tRNA from 1 species